rnacentral:rRNA from 1 species
GCAGUCGAACGAUGAUGCCCAGCUUGCUGGGUGGAUUAGUGGCGAACGGGUGAGUAACACGUGAGUAACCUGCCCCUGACUCUGGGAUAAGCGUUGGAAACGACGUCUAAUACUGGAUAUGAUCACUGGCCGCAUGGUCUGGUGGUGGAAAGAUUUUUUGGUUGGGGAUGGACUCGCGGCCUAUCAGCUUGUUGGUGAGGUAAUGGCUCACCAAGGCGACGACGGGUAGCCGGCCUGAGAGGGUGACCGGCCACACUGGGACUGAGACACGGCCCAGACUCCUACGGGAGGCAGCAGUGGGGAAUAUUGCACAAUGGGCGAAAGCCUGAUGCAGCAACGCCGCGUGAGGGAUGACGGCCUUCGGGUUGUAAACCUCUUUUAGUAGGGAAGAAGCGAAAGUGACGGUACCUGCAGAAAAAGCACCGGCUAACUACGUGCCAGCAGCCGCGGUAAUACGUAGGGUGCAAGCGUUGUCCGGAAUUAUUGGGCGUAAAGAGCUCGUAGGCGGUUUGUCGCGUCUGCUGUGAAAUCCCGAGGCUCAACCUCGGGCUUGCAGUGAGUACGGGCAGACUAGAGUGCGGUAGGGGGAGAUUGGAAUUCCUGGUGU